rnacentral:rRNA from 1 species
ACAAACAUAAACCUUUUGUAAUUGCAAUCAGCGUCAGUAACAAAUUAAUAAUUACAACUUUCAACAACGGAUCUCUUGGUUCUGGCAUCGAUGAAGAACGCAGCGAAAUGCGAUAAGUAGUGUGAAUUGCAGAAUUCAGUGAAUCAUCGAAUCUUUGAACGCACAUUGCGCCCUUUGGUAUUCCAAAGGGCAUGCCUGUUCGAGCGUCAUUUGUACCCUCAAGCUUUGCUUGGUGUUGGGCGUCUUGUCUCUAGCUUUGCUGGAGACUCGCCUUAAAGUAAUUGGCAGCCGGCCUACUGGUUUCGGAGCGCAGCACAAGUCGCACUCUCUAUCAGCAAAGGUCUAGCAUCCAUUAAGCCUUUUUUUCAACUUUUGACCUCGGAUCAGGUAGGGAUACCCGCUGAACUUAAGCAUAUCAAUA